UUGACCUCGGAUCAGGUAGGAAUACCCGCUGAACUUAAGCAUAUCAAUAAGCGGAGGAAAAGAAACCAACAGGGAUUGCCCUAGUAACGGCGAGUGAAGCGGCAACAGCUCAAAUUUGAAAUCUGGCUCUCGGGCCCGAGUUGUAAUUUGUAGAGGAUACUUUUGAUGCGGUGCCUUCCGAGUUCCCUGGAACGGGACGCCAUAGAGGGUGAGAGCCCCGUCUGGUUGGAUGCCAAAUCUCUGUAAAGUUCCUUCGACGAGUCGAGUAGUUUGGGAAUGCUGCUCUAAAUGGGAGGUAUAUGUCUUCUAAAGCUAAAUACCGGCCAGAGACCGAUAGCGCACAAGUAGAGUGAUCGAAAGAUGAAAAGCACUUUGAAAAGAGAGUUAAAAAGUACGUGAAAUUGUUGAAAGGGAAGCGUUUAUGACCAGACUUGGGCUUGGUUAAUCAUCUGGGGUUCUCCCCAGUGCACUUUUCCAGUCCAGGCCAGCAUCAGUUUUCGCCGGGGGAUAAAGACUUCGGGAAUGUGGCUCUCUUCGGGGAGUGUUAUAGCCCGUUGUGUAAUACCCUGGCGGGGACUGAGGUUCGCGCAUCGCAGAUGCGC
rnacentral:rRNA from 1 species